UCAUGUUUUGGCGGGAUGUUGUCAUAUCACCCGAGACCCCUACAUCUAAAUCAAAGACCUCACCUGUUACAUGGCGUUUGUGCUCGCCCUUUGACACACAAACGGUCACAGGCUUUCAUAUCUUCAGCGAUACAGCCUGGUUCAGAGUCAUUGCCGAGCUGCUGUCGCCAGACACCAUGCUAACCUUUGCACCCACUCAGCUGUACAGCAGCGGUACAGACAGUGGAAGCCUCUAGCCAAGUGGGCUUGGAAUGUUAUGUGGACUAGCUGGACCCUCCUCGCAGUGCUGUGGAGGAAGGUGUGGCAAUGCAAGACUCGUAGACACUCAACAAAAGAAGACAGAGUACUAACCGUAUCUGCUGAUGCUGCGUGGGAAGCUGGCGGAGGAAGGGAUAUUGAAAGAGGACAUCUGUUUGGGCACCAAGGCCACCACACAGCGCUCGGACACCUGGAAGACAAAGAUGAAAGUGAAUGGUGGUCUUGCUUUCAGCUCUAAAGGAGAGAGAGGUCUGCUUCAUCUGCCUGAGUUUCAUUCUGUUGGUAAAACCAGCUGCAAACGUUUUUUGUUUUUUUUAUGUUUCAGAGCAUCUCCUAUAAAACACAGCAAUAAAAAACAGCCCCCCUAUACACAUUCCAUUUCUAAUGAUUUCUCAUAAACCAUUAAUUAUGAACCUGGGCUGUAACCCAAGCCUGAAGACGUGAAUACAAAGUGUUUGACUUUGUGUUUUUCAGUGUCAGAGCGAUGUAUCAUCAGAGGUCAGCAAUAGAUUGAGGAAAAA